ACGCUCGACACCUAGAGGCAGCAGUCGGGAAUAUUGCGCAAUGGAGGAAACUCUGACGCAGUGACGCCGCGUGCAGGAAGAAGGUUUUCGGAUUGUAAACUGCUUUAGACAGGGAAGAAAGAAAUGACAGUACCUGUAGAAUAAGCUCCGGCUAACUACGUGGCAGCAGCCGCGGUAAUCUGAGCGGGCUGGCAAGGC
rnacentral:rRNA from 1 species